rnacentral:lncRNA from 1 species
GUUUUAUCUUAUUAAUGGUUGACUAACUUCUAUUAAAAUCAAUGUAGAUUUAUGCACGUUUUAAGAAGUUUGGGUAGUUUUUUUGAAUAAUAACUGAGUUGAAGUCGUAUUUGGUAUUGACUAUUUGUUACUAUUUGUUCGGGUCGUAUUUGGUACGAGUGUAAUUGUUGGAGUGGAAAUUGACCAUUUUCCCACUUUUUUACUAUAUAAUUUAUCAACCAAGUUAAAAUCGUUAGAUGGCAACUAAGAGUUUAGUAGAGUUCUAACGUAUAAACAUAUUAAUCGAGAUCUAAACAU